AAGCAAUGAUGAGUGAAGUAUAGUCUGACCUGGUAUUGCCGAGACUCCGUGUCUGCUCUGACCAGGGCAUGAUCACUUAAUCUUCUCUCUGAGCUA
ensembl:snoRNA small nucleolar RNA, C/D box 7